GUGACGUGUUUUAUUGAUAUGCUGGACUACGGGUUCAAUUCCGGGGAGAUCCUCUGUUAUUGGUAUGACGGACUACGAGUUCAAUUCCCGGAAGGUCCUCUGCUGUUGUUAUGACAUACUACAGGUUCAAUUCCCGGGAGAUCCUCUGAUAUUGACAUGACGGACUACGAGUUCAAUUCCUGGGAGAUCCUCUGUUAUUGGUAUGACGGACUACGGGUUUGAUUCACGAGAGAUCCUCUGAUAUUGAUAUAAUGGACUGUGGGUUCAAUUUCCAGAGAUCUUGUGUUAUUGUUAUGAAGGACUGUGGGUUCAAUUCCCGGAGAUCCUCUGUUAUUGGUAUGAAGGACCGCAGGUUCAAUUCCUGGAGAUCCUCUGUUAUGGAUAUGAUGGACGAGGGGUUCAAUUCCUAGGAGAUCCUGAGAUAUUGGUAAAUGGACUGCAGGUUAAAUUCCCGGAGCUCCAUGUGGCAUCCUGACUUUCGAGUGAUUUUUCUUGUGUUUGUAGAUUGUAUUUGUAGCCCAAUCUAUGUUAUUUACUGUCUUGCUAGAUAUUCAGAAUUUACUUCAUUAUCCACUGCUUAUUUAUCUUACAUUAUUUCUUAUGUCCAUAUCAGUAGGGCCUCGACUUUCC
rnacentral:lncRNA from 1 species